rnacentral:rRNA from 1 species
AAUAGAUACCCGAGUAGUCCACGCCGUAAACGAUGGAUACUAGCUGUUUGAGCGCAAGUUUGAGUGGCUAAGCGAAAGUGAUAAGUAUCCCACCUGGGGAGUACGGGCGCAAGCCUGAAACUCAAAGGAAUUGACGGGGGCCCGCACAAGCGGUGGAGCAUGUGGUUUAAUUCGAUGAUACGCGAGGAACCUUACCAGGGCUUAAAUGUAGAUUGACGUAUUUGGAAACAGAUAUUUCUUCGGACAAUUUACAAGGUGCUGCAUGGUUGUCGUCAGCUCGUGCCGUGAGGUGUCAGGUUAAGUCCUAUAACGAGCGCAACCCCUGUUGUUAGUUGCCAGCGAGUAAUGUCGGGAACUCUAGCAAGACUGCCAGUGUAAACUGUGAGGAAGGUGGGGAUGACGUCAAAUCAUCACGGCCCUUACGUCCUGGGCCACACACGUGCUACAAUGGCCGGUACAGAGAGCAGCCACUUAGCGAUAAGGAGCGAAUCUAUAAAGCCGGUCACAGUUCGGAUCGGAGUCUG